UAGGACUGGGAGGCUCCCCUCUGUCUGGACCGGAGGCUGGAGGGAGCAAAGAGCUGCAGGAAGCUAGAAGAAACAUCACAAACAGAUGUGUUGUUAACUUUGUGAUGUGAAGCUUAUCACCACUUUACUACUCAGUUGCCACAGUUCUCCAGCUACCCGCUGCCAGCAGAGGGCGCCACGCGCACAAGGCCCUGAACCUGCAGCUAAAUGAAAACAUGACUUUAAUCACAUUCUCACCACCUCUCCAGCUGAAGAGAAGAGCCGUUUGCACGACACUGAUGUCUGACUAAUAAAGAUAUCAUAUUGGAAUUGCGACUUGUCAAAAUGUAGUUUUAGUCUUUAAUUACACUUUGAAUUUGUCAUAAAUACAUUACCGAUAUAUGUAAUGUGAAACUUGUCUAUCUUAUAGAUCAUCUACCAUCUUCUGACCGCUUGCCACGUUUAUAAAGCUCUGAAGUAUUAAAACAACCGUCCGUUCAAACUGCAGAUAAACCGCUCGGCAGUCACGUGACGUAUCGACGCCUCUCGCGCUCAUUGGUCACGUGAUUCGGAACGCGCUCGAGAUUCUGCUUGACGACACUUCCGCUUCAAAAGAUCCACGCUGAGUCGAGUGGGAGGUCUCGAGUUGGACUUCUCCAGGGUCCUGCACCGUGCUUGCUCUCUGACAGACGUUUAAAAAAAUGCUGCAAAAGUUUCUCUUCUGGAAGUGUUUCAACAUUUGUUAGACACAGUGUGAAAUAUGAAGCUAAAGUUAUUCUACACGAGUUUCAUGGUUCAGUGUAAUUCUUGUGAUCAGACUGAUCAAUAACUACAUAAAUAACACGUGGCUGUUUUCUCUCCUCCACCUGAGCCUGGUUCUGGGUUAUUAGUAAUUUCUGGACGUGAUCUAUCCAAGAAGCUCAACUAAAACAUGCUUCUUAUGUGUCUCCUGCUGCACGGGUGCCUGAGCUUCCGUGGCUGCAGUUGUAACAUGUCAGUAGAACUGAACUGGUCGUCUUUGACCCUGUCGACCGUUUGGUCCUGCAGCUCAUAAGAUUCAUGGUCAUGAACAAAAGGACACACAAGUUUAGGGUCCACGUCGAUCUACAGGAUGAGGGGAGGUGGAGAUUUGCAGCAGCCAGCAGAAGGUGGAUAGAAGACGGCACUGUCCUCUGGGUAAAAGGAGAAUCAACACUAGAAGCAUGAUAAGUGAAGCAAAGGUGGGGGAAGUUUGUGCAGACAGCAAGGUGGCUAAAGAGCCGCCGCUGUCAGACGUCAGUGACAGUGAUGACGGCAUGUCAGACGGUAGCGACGUAUCCACUGUGAAACAACUGACAGCAGUCAGGAAAAAAGGUAUAUUCAGCAAAGAUGUUAAAGUCGUUCCUGGCAGAAAAAAAAGGUUGUUACGCAUCAGCAAGAAGCCAUAUGAGGAACAGAGACGAGUCUGGUCUCACAGACCAGGAAAUAUACAGACUGAAAAAAAAUUGGUUCUGAAGGUGAAACGUCAUCUUAGCAAUGAUGAUUAAGACCGCACAGGUAAAUUCUGAGCCAUCAGUCAAGGAAUACCAGAGCUGAUGGAGUGUAGGGGCAGUCUUCUGAUGACAGGUGCAGCUGUGGAGGCUGGAGAAGUUCAUCCAAGGUUUCCUUGACAACAGAGACCAGAUGAUGACCAUAGGACCCAUAGAGACGUCAUUAUUUGUGUUUCGGAGGCUCAGUGCAGUAACUCGUCGCCUGAGCAGUAAUUUACAUAGUGACAUAAAGUGGUGAUAAUCAUAAACUGACAAUGUAGAGGCAUAUGUUAACAAUACAUCUGUUAAUAAUGCUUCUUGCAGCCUGCACCUCUUCGAUUCCUCCAACCUCCAGUGCAGACGAAGAGGAGCCUCCGGAUUCCAACCACAUAGAGGAAGUGACUGGAUCACUGCCUCCUCUGUGCUGCUGGCUUUGGAAGCUCUUCAGCUCAAUGUUGACCUCCAUCUGAGCAGAAGACAGUCAAGGCGAGACAUCAAGAAUCAGUUUCAUGGAUAUUGUUCUGAUACAAGCUUCAAUAAAUAAAUUUUUUAAUGUUAA